GGCCAAGCAGCACAGCCUGCAGCUGGAUGUGAUGUCCAAAUUUGUCAGCCUGCCUUGAGGUUUAACAAACACAACCUGUGUCUGCUGUCAAGGGCAACACACAGCCACUGUCAUAACACAGCCUGAGUGACACUCGCACCCCACCCCCUGUGCACCUGCCUUCCCUGCCCUGUGUGUGUCACUAACUGAGACGGCUCACCUGAAGAUCUCUCCCUGGCAUCUGACGAAUCCUGGGAGAUGUCCUGGCUGACCGGCACUGGCUCCAGGGACAAGAUGACGGUCUCUUCCUCCUCCUCCUCCGGUUGGCCCUGGUUCUCCUGUUUCUCCUCCAUUCCGGCCAGAUGAUGAUGCGGGUCUCGAGGCCAGAGAUGACUACGAUGGGUGGGGAAGACAUUUCCCCAACCCCGCAAGAAGAACAUGAUUGCAGUGUGGACAUAAUGCAGGUUGUCGGGAAAACGGCCAUUUUUCGAACAAAACUCUGUUGUGUAGAGAUACCCUCAGCGAGUACAUUGGACUUUGAUAUUGCACAACAAAGAUACAGCAAUAGCUCCAGUAAGGACACUGUCUCCAGUGUUGGAUACCCUGUUGUAUUCUGGAAAUCCACAUGUGCGCCCAGAUAUUGAUUAAGGAAAUCCUAAAUCCAGUUUUUCAUAUUAAUACAUCAAAAAAUUAAAAUCACAAAAUAAUAUUCAUUUUUAAUGUGUUUGAUUGCUAAAAUCAAGAGAAACUAAUGCCUUAUUGUUAUUGAUCUUUUCUUUAAUUGUGUGGAAGCAUUCCCCUCAAGGCAAAUGUUGCUUUAGCCACAACAAUCAUGGGGAAACAAGUCUUCUCUCAUUGGAAACAUCACAAACAUGAGCUUACUUUUAAUAAGACUUUAUACAGAGUAAGAUGGAUUUAUCUGUGGUUCAAGUCCCAUUGAGGCUGUACAUUUGAGUGCUGAGGCAAGUCACUUUGGCUGAGACCUUCUCAGAACUAAGCUGAUCCCCAAUAUCUGUAUUAUACUGCAAAAGGCUGUGACUAUUUCUGUGUCACUGCUGGAAGGGGCUGGAGAGCUCAGAGGUAUUUCAGUACAACCAAAUGAUAGUCACAAGGGGGUCUCUGUGACAGAACCCAUAACAGUCCCCUAGAAUAUAUGUUAACUACUUAUGAUAAAUGAUUUCUUCCAGUUUGUACUUAGCUAUGACACACUGAGUAUGUUUCCCAGAUCUGAAGAGGCGCUCUCUAGCUCAGAAGCUUGUCUCUUUCACCAGCAGAAGCUGGUCCAAUAAAAAACCAAGAGCUGUCAAUUAAGUGCAUUUAAUUCAAGCAAUUAACUCAAAACAAAUUAAUGUAAUUAAACAUUCAUCACAAUUAAUCACACUGUUAAAUAAUAGAACACCAAUUUCUCAUCGCAUGAUCUCAUUCAUUUUGUCUCUUUAGUAGUCUUAUAAGCUAUUUUUCUUAGCAUGGAAUUAAUCUUGGUAAAUAUUCUCUGUGUUUAUUUUCUAACGCCCUUUAUGUGGAGGAGUUGUGAUGGAUAGCAACAAGGGAGCUUUCUUUGUCCUUUAAUCUUUUAUUAGCAUCAGUUUUUAAAGCAGCUACUCCUGAGGAACUGGGUAACUGUUUGUGGUUUAGAAAGAGUGGGUUGCCUGCACGUUGUUUAUGACCACUUCUGUUCCUAGAUUGACAUGUAUGUGUAAAUGAAAAGUGGUACAAUAGACAUGAUCAUAUUCUGACACACUCAGUUCUCCUCUGAUGGAAAGCUGACAUGCAAGCUUGGACUUCUGCUACCACUUGACAGAGGGAUGAUAAUAUGAUGUCAGUUACUGUGGCAAGAAUAUUUAAACUUCCUAUAUGCCCUUAAGUGUCCAAUGUCUUCUUCAGCACCAUGUCAUUUAGUAUUUGCAACAUUUGUCAUCCAAGAGUAAUGUGUAUAACUGUAUGCUGUUAUAAAUAGAAUUAUAAUUGAAUUCCAAGACAUUCUUGCCAUCAGUUUUGUGGACUUUCAAAAGGCAUUUGAUAGUGUAAACUGAGAACCAAUGUGUAAAAUGAUGGAAUAAUAUGGAAUUUCAACAAAAUUAAUAUUAAGGCAUUCAACAUCUACUCAAUGCUGCAUUAAAAUGAAAAGUGGAUCGAGCAAAUCCUUCAGCAUCAAGACAAGUAUAAGUAGAGGUAUGUCCUGUCUCCUUUUCUGUUUAUGCUAGUCAUCAACUAUGG